rnacentral:lncRNA from 1 species
ACAUACGGGGCAUAGCCUGACAUUGUCCUCGUCACAAAGCACUGUGGCAUCUCUUGUCGCGCAGACCUCGCACUUCGCGGUCACUCCAUCCAAUUUGGCAGCUUGAACCUUUUUCUUCAUUUAAUUCAAUUAGUCUGCGUAAAGAUGUUGUCACGAAACGAUGGCUUGGCGCCCUCAGCUCUCGGUACAGGGACAGGCUGUUUUGGAGCUGUUUCUCAAAGAUUUGCCGACUCAAAGCACUAAACCCAUUCUUUUAGAAAAUGUUGCAUGGACUUGCACCGUGCAACCUGAAGGCUCAGGAAUGUGUCGUCCACCCAAUCUCGGCCGAAUCGCCCCGUACCGGAGUUCGGAGCCCUGUCAUAGAAGCGUCCAGCAAAAGAUAACUCAAAAGCAUCAAGCUUUAAGCCUGCUUAAGCCAAAAGACUAGCAGGGUCCCAUUUUGUCAAAUUGUUGACUCUUCACAAAACCUUAUGUGGCCAGUUCAUAAUUCCAGGGCUGAGCUUUCUCACGCUGAAAGGGAGCUUAAAAGUGAAUCCGUGCUCAUAAGUGAACGUUUCCUGCGUAACUGCGCUUGGGAUAAUUAUUAUAAAAACGUUCGAACAGAGUACGACAGCCCAAACACAGUCUUUCACAUCUCAUGUAGCGGUGCAGGAUUACCCAUAGCUGGAUUUCCUUGAGCCGUGUCAGACUCAAGGUGUCCGGAAGGAAGCCCAGGCGCCGAGACGCGAGAGCUGGCCCCGUUUGGCAGCCCCAACAUGCCAUGCGUUAACGACAUCUGGUAUCGCAUAGUGCCAUGCCUGUUUCUGGGAUCAGCCGUUUUGUGUGAUGACUUGGUUCCCGUACAGUGCAGUACUGCGUCAGUGAGGUAAGCCGCAGCUCGGACAAUCUGGCGCUUAGUGAUGUCUCUCGGGAUUGCUCUUGGGUACUGCUGCUGCUGUUGCCGAAGUUCUGCUGUCGCCGCAGGCCGGUUCGCUGGCCUACUGACGUCUGCUUUAACCAGCUAGCGGUUGCUAUAAUUAAUUUUUCAGCAUCGGUCAAGGUCGGUCAGUUACGUGACUUGGCACGUUCGGGAUACGACGGGCACGUUUAGCCGUCAAACGCGCUGUAGGUGGACCACGUAGGCAGACGCGGAAAACUACGGGACGAAGCGCGGCACAGACGCAACUUGCAGGACAGCGCUGUUGUGCAUCAUAGCGGGAUACCGCAGUUGUUUGGAACCCGGCAUGACCAGUGGACUCCAGCCAAUCCUUGUUAGCAUGCAAGGAACUGUCUACGAGGCACGUGUCCUAUUACGUUUGUACGCCGUGUUGCGGCCUGUGCGCCCGUGAAAAGCGUGAAAAUACAGUGCAGAUGCCGUACAUGCCGAAUACAUGCAUGGUGUAGUGCCUCUACUACAGCCGCAAACCGCUGUAUGAAGCACAACAAUGCAGGGCGGCCACCACAGCCGUUACGAAGGGUGGAAGCGGUGCUGCGUGCCGGCUGAGCUCCCUUGCAAAUCUAUUUUCAGAUGUGCACCGGCUUUCUCUACAUCCGCAAUGCCAUAGACGCC